UUUCACCCUCAGUUGAAUAUAGCACUUAUUUCGCUGAUCCCAAAAAAAGGAAAGGACCACUCAAACUGUGCAAAUUACAGACCCAUUAGCCUGUUAAAUACAGAUAUUAAAAUGUAUGCUAGAAUUUUAGCUUUGCGAUUACAACAAUACAUUAAUAAAUUAGUUCAUCCAGAUCAGACUGGCUUUAUGCCAGGUAGAUUAGCAUCAGACAACAUCCGGAGAUUACUACAUGUCAUACACGAGGCCCGGGAUUGUCCUACUCCAGCUGCAGUUCUUUCCUUAGAUGCAGAAAAGGCGCUUGACCAGCUGGAGUGGGACUAUCUCUGGUCUGUUUUGGAGGUUUUUGGCCUUGGUACUAAUUUCAUUAAUACAAUUAAGGUAUUAUGUAGAAACCCAACAGCUUCUGUUAACUAAUGGUCUACAUUCUUCACCUUUUAAUUUAGGGCGCGGCACUAGACAGGGGUGCCUGUUGUCCCCCAUGCUAUUUGCUUUGUCGCUUGAGCCACUAGCACAGCUGAUAAGACAAGAAGAUAUGUGUUCAUUUUCAGUUAAAUCACAAACAAUGCAUAUCUCUUUAUGCCGAUGAUAUAAUAUUGUUUAUCUCAGUUUUACAAACGUCAUUUCCCCUAAUACUGAAUAAAUUUGGAAAGUUUAGUAUGUUUUCCGGACACAAAAUCUACUGGGAUAAAUCCUCUAUGCUUCCUCUCAACUCCAUAGCUAAACAUAUUAAGCUGUCAUGUAAUGUCCCCAUACGAAAUUCCAUAACUUAUCUAGGCAUUGCUGUUCAGUCAUCUUUGCUAACUAUCCCGGACGCUAACUAUCUGCAAGUAUAAUCUAGGGUAGAACUGUCAUGGUUUGUAUAUCCAUCUGCUCCUUAUUUGAAGUGUCUUAGUUGUAUGGCAGUUCAUUAUCAUAAUACGUGUUUCUAAGUAUGUGUGCUUUUCCUUCUGUGUUUGUGUGGGUGUCGCGUGGCUGUCAGUGGGUGUUUGUUUUCAUGUCAUCAGCUGAGAAGUCACAUGAUCUUGUUACCGGAACUGUUGCGUAGCGCCGCUCUACAGGUGUAGUGCAUUUUAUGUGCCUAUAAAUGUUCAGCGUUUCUGUCUCACUUUGUCAGUUCGUUGUUUGCUCACGGUUCUUUGUGUUUUGUCAGGCUCCUCUCUUCGCUGGUGUUGGCUUCCUCACCUUUUAUGUGACGUGACAAGAACAAGAUCUCCAGAACUGUGCUUCAACAGACUCUCGUCAUCACGGUCAAUUCAGCUCUGUGUCCCAAGUCCAUCAACAUACACGGCGAGCUACUGAGCAAACUGAUAACACCAAAAAAGCUGUUUAUAUAGAGAUCAAAGAAGAAUUCAAAGGAUUGACGGCUGCUGAUGUGGAGUCUACCUUCAUUGAAAAUUUGAACAAUUACACAGAACAGCUCUUCCAUUUAUUUCACAAAAAGGGGGGAAGUGCAGGAUGCAAAAUCUGUGAUGUGAUGAAAUUGCUGGAGCAGAUAUUGUUUACUGAAAAUUCUGCUUGCCUGUUUUAGCAUUUAAAUUUUAGAUGUUCAUUGUCUCUACCAUGUAAUGCAUUUUAAAAUAUUACAAUUUAUUUAUAUAUUUUUUUCUAUUUGCACUCAAAGUGUGGACAUUCUCUGGGAGGUGGUGAUAUGCUGUCUGACUGUGAACCUGUCUGAGAACCUCGAGAAGCUGAUUACACAUUACCUGGACACCUGUGGGGAAACGGACCAGCUGGACAUUGGAGAGCACAUACCAAAAACUGUGACCAUACGCACACAUACAAUACGGAUAAUUUAGCCUACCCAAUUUACCUAUACCGCAUGUCUUUGGACUUGUGGGGGAAACCCGGAGGAAACCCACAUCAACACGGGGAGAACAAGCAAACUCCACACAGAAACACCAACUGACCCAGCCGGGGCUCGAACCAGUGACCUUCUUGCUGUGAGGCAAUUGUGCUGAGUGUUUGACAAGCACAGCUUUGAACGCUACUUUUAAGAAUACUCUUGAAAUAGUUUUUGAACUAUUGUUUCUAUUAAAGCAGUACAUUUGUAAAAAAAAUUAGCAUUUUUUUGAAAACCUAAAAAUGUUUUCAGGAAAUGUUUUAAGAUGCAUUUGUCUAAUAAAGAAAUUCUUAUUAUUCUUCUAAUAAAGAAAUUUAUUAUUCUUUAAUCCUGUUAUCUGUGUUUUUUCCACCUUUUGUAAUGUAUAGCUAAUUUUAAGUUAACCGAUAAGUGACUUAGCAUUUUAAAGUUGAAGAACUAAACAUUUUCAGGUAAAUUAGC